rnacentral:lncRNA from 1 species
AUGUGUUUUUUUUUUUCCUUUACAGGAAGAGGAAGCGAAGGGCCUGAAGCGAAGCUGAUUUCCUGGGGUUUCCUGGUGGUUUGCGAGAGGUGCAGUGACUGCUCCCCAUCAGGCAGCUUCUUGGCCACAGCUGGGGACGGCUGCAGCACAACAACUCCUCCAGCCGUGGCAGCCCACGCCGGGCAAUGCUGGAUGGAGGACAGCUGGGGCACGGCGCUUCCCCGGCCUCGGGGCUCUGUACGUCCUGCCCACAGCAGGCAACAGUUGCUUGUGAGAAAUCAUGCUGUCACCGAGCCUGGUGGAGAAUUUCAGCUGGGCAAAUCACUGGAAGCAAAAGCAGAAAGGAAGGAAGGAAACCAGAGGGUGCCUCCCAAACAUGCAAAGCAGUGUCAGGGCACCUGUCCCAGGGCAGAAGAGCAAAAAGCCCAUUCCCAGCAGUGGGGUGAACUGGGGGGGGGCCUGCCUGGCACGUGGGGAGCCAGGAGGUUCGUUAGGGAACCACCAAGCCCUGCUUGUAAAUGCAAAAUCCUCCAGACUGAGGCUGCUAAUUCUGAGGGCUGGCAGUUCAUAAUGGAAAAUGUUCAGUGUGAGGUGGCUUCUGAAGGGCUUUAGAAGUGUCGGGCUAAGUGUAAGUGAGGUACACUGGCCCUCUUUGCAGGACAGGACCAGUCCACUUUCCAGCUGGAGCAGUUGAACAAUGUGCAAUGUGUACCCCAAAGCUCUUGGGGCUGUGCCUGGCCCACAACUCCAUGGGGUGUCCCAUAACUCCUAAAACAUCCAUGCCAGGGUGCCCAGGUUGCAGGGAUGAAUUCAAUUUUUCUUCAGAAACACCUUUUUGUAAUAGGGAACUCGGAGGAAACAAUAGUGCUGGCUGGGGGUGGGGGGGAGGCACCUUGCAGAGUUUGGCUGUGUCUGUAUCACAUCUGCCUGUGGAGAGAGCCUGGGCUGGGAAACUGUGGGUUUGUGUUCCUGUAGCGUACAGCAACACGAGGCUCCCAGGGAGUGCGUUAAACAUGGAAAAUAGCAAGGAUCCCAGAAUAGGCUGGACCUAAUCGCUGACAGGAAUACGUGCCAAGUUCAAGAUUCUGGAUUUUUAUCUUCUGAGUGCUCCUGGCCCUCAGCCCAAACCACCACAGAAAUUGCCUCUGUCUCCAGAGUGAGCGGCUCCCCAGACGCAGUGGAGUUGUCUCGGAGGGAUGAUAUUCCUCACUGCAGAAGGGACCUUCGAGGUUUCAGAAGGCUGCCCAGGCAAUGCAAUCAGGACACCCCAGCUCAAGGCAGGAAAUAGUAAGGAUUAAGCUGAGAAUGGGUCUACUGAGGUAGGCACCAGCUCCUCUCCCUCAGAGCAGAGAAUCGGACUGGUUCCUCGGGAUACACUGGGUCCAACCUUCUGCUCCAGCUGGCCCCUGAGCAUGGGCUGCUCAGGGACUUGUCCUUUGAGUGCUUUUGAGGUAGCUGGAGGAGGAUUUUUGUUGGGUGAAGAAGGAUUUGGGGUGGGUGAAGGAGGUUCUCAGCCACAGCACCCUGUGCUGUUCCCCUGUGCCUGGCAAGGGGAGACCUGGCCCUGAGGGGACACAGCUCAUGGGGACACUGCUGAUGGCAGAGGUGUCAC